ensembl:lncRNA
AAACGCUUCACUUGUUGUAUCAAUAAAACAUACGCAAUCUAUCAGGCAAUAGGUGGUGUGUAAAUAGUUUUACGUAAUUAUUCAGAAGCUCUCAAAAUUAUAGAUUCCGAUUCUUGCAUUUAGUAAUGGACAAAUGCGAUCAGUGAAAAGGUAGAUUUUUUGAAGAUUACGAGCUUUUUUCUCAACAAAAGUAGUGCUGUAAUACGGUUUUAGUUUGCGCCAUCGGUUUGCUACUAGAUCUGCCAAUUGAACUAUUGUGCGUGAACCUUACCAAAACAAACUGACUGGAUUAACCCCACGUUAGCUACAUGCAUUGAGUGGCGUUCAGACGGUUGACAUGAAGUCACUUUGCCAGAGAAUGGCUUAUCCAGUGAUGUCUUCGGUGUGUGGAGGCACCAAUCAGAAGGAGAUUCUGAUGUAUAAGAUGGUUGGUUUUGAGUGUUGCGUAGAUGCUUACAUACAUUUUCAAAAUUUAUUUUAGUCAAUUGAAGAAUUAGAAAAAUGUGAAAACCAAGUCUCUUUGUAACAAAACUAAAAUGAAAAACUAUUAGGAAGAUAAGCUACAAGCAGAAAAAAGCAUGAAAAGAAAGGCUAUGUAAAUUGUCCUUUGUAUUAGAAUUUGAUACCAUGUCUGAGUGCUGAACUUGCUCUUAUCAAGGAGCUGCAUAUGCACAGUCUCUUACUAACUGGAAUUAUGGCCUUUUAUAUUCUGUAGGAACUAAUCAUACCAAGCUUGGUCUCUGUCAGAGUGCUGAUCAGGGCCACACACACGAAUAUACACACGUAUACAUACACAAAGACCAAUGUUUUCCCUGCCCACACACCCUGUGGCUGACUGUACUUGGUACUAGGGGACACAGACCAAUGGAUGACCAUGGCACAGAGACACUACAGUCUAAUUGGAGGAGGGAAGAAGUGGCCAGCGACAGAGGAGAAGCCGGCUGUCUUCAGGAAAAGAGGGAGGGCAGAGAGGAAUUGGAGCGUCAAGUAUGGGAGCUUUUUUGUCGGUCUGACUGUUUGUCUGUCUGUGCCUGUAUUUCGUUCAACGGCCUUGUGUGUGUUUGUAAGUAGCUAACUUUUAUUUAUCCUACCCCAGUGAGAGACACAUGCUUAGUGAUAAUAGCAGUUGAGGGAUUCCAAUCUGUUCUUCAUUUUUCUUUCUGUAUUGGAGUAUAGAGGAACAUUUGAGUUUAAUAUUACUUUCUGGUCCAUGCUUACAAUUAAAUUGAACUCCAUGCCCAAGAGGGUUAAGGCAGUGCUGGAAAAUAAUGGUGGCCACACAAAAUAUUGACACUUUGGGCCCAGUUUAGACAUUAAUGGCUUUGUGUUGAGUUAUUUUGAAGGGACAGCAAAUGUACACUGUUAUACAAGCUGUACACUCACUACUUCACAUUGUAGCAUAGUGUCAUUUCUUCAGUGUUGUCACAUAAAAAGACAUAAUCAAAUAUUAGCAAAAAUGUGAUGUAUUGUGGGUAAAUGUGGGUAUUGUGAUGGCAAUUCUAUCGAUGAGAACUCUUUAAUGAGGAAGUACAGAGACGAAAUUCUCUUGGCACAAUGUAACAGUUUUAUUAUUAUUUGCAAAUUAGAGAGACACUUCAAACGAUAACAAACAUAAUCGUCCGAGGAGUCUCUAACUUAAUACAUCAACAGUGUGGGGUGUGGUAAGUUGUUGCCCAUCUGUCCUAUGUCAAUUAAACACAUUCCCUUUUUUAUGUUACUACCUAGUCUUCACAAAAGGGGAAAACUGUCCUCCCCCCACAUGGGUAACCUAUAGAACUCUAAAGAGCUCUUACAGCAUCUGGACAGACAAUAGAUGCCCUGAUGAGUUAUACAGAUGCGCAGAUAAAGAGUAACCAUUUCAUCUGCUGAUACCAGUCAAUGAUGCCCCCUAGGCAAAUACCAGAUCACCCAUAUUCCUUUUCUAAUUUGAACAAGGGUACUCAGUCCUUCAAUCAGUGAGAAUACAUUGGUUAGAGAAAUGUCAGUAUAUUUACUUUUGUGAGAUACUGUAACCCUAACAAUUAGAGAACGGAACGGACGUUUUUAAAUAUUUGGAUCCUUAUUUACAUGCUUCUGGACCAUAGUUUUCUUUAUCAGCCAGCCAGGUCAACAGUUUACACUAAGCAAGCAACCUAAAGUUAAAAAGCAGUAUACUUACAGUGUUGUACUUUAGGACAAAACGUAGUACAGAAACAGUUCAUUGAGUGACAAUGGACCCAGUUAUUAAAAAAUUUUGUAUACUUGUGUCAUGGUGCGGUGAGCAGCAGCGCCACCGUGCCAUAGUUUCUCAGUUUCCAUUUCUCACGAACACAUCCCAGACUGUCACAUGUUUUCAAUCCUCCACACCAGGUCCCAAUUUGAAUCGUUUGUAUGUGUAUAUAUGUUUCCCCUCUGCUCCCCACAUUGUGGCUCAUUGUGCUUGUAAUGUUUGGAUGUUGUGUGUGUUGCCGUUUAUUGUAAGUACUUGUACCAUUUCUUAUAGUCGUUUUUGCUGCUUUAGUCAGCCCUUUGCUUUUGUGUGUUUUGUGCUCGGU